CAGGGCUGGCACUGGAUAGUUUUUAAGGUCCUUUCCAACCCAAACCAUUCUGUGAUUGAUACCUGGUAAUUAAUCUAUUCUGAGUGGUCACAAUUUUGCAAAAGGGACAAAAGCUAACAAGAGACAUUUUGCCUGGAAUGUCUCUAGCACUGCAAUGGAAAGAUAAGAAAAUUAUUUUUGGGUCUAUUAUUUUUUCUAUGAUGAUAACUCUUCAAAAAUACAUUGACAAAAAAAAUUUCAGUGAAAUACUCUGAGUUUUUAGAAACUAAAGCACGCCAAGCAGCUUGCUUUUUUUGUUGUUGUUGUUGUUUUUUGUUUGUUUUUUGUUUGUUUUUUGUUGUUUUUUUUCUUUUUUUUUUCCUUCCCCUGUAUUUUGGCUGCUGGAUCCUGUUCUUUUCUCUCCACCAGAGAGCGCCAGGAUCCCCAGAGGUGCUCAUGCUGGGACUUCCCAGGGAUGUGAGCUUCUCCCGGGCAGCACAAACACCCGUGUGCCCCUCAGACAAAUGCGGGAGGACACUCAGACCAGCUGGGAACGUGGGACAUCAGAAAGGAGAAAGGACUUGGGUUGCAGUGUGCUCUCUUCUGUAUCUUACAUUCUCCUGCUGUUGUCAUCGUACUUUCUCUGACCUCUUCUUCUGGCUCGUUGCCCUUUGUUCCUUCAGCCACCUGCCUGCAGAGCCUGCAAACCCCGGCAUGGUCCCUUCCUUCCAGCAGCACCAUCCCUGGAUGUCAGUAAUCCCAGCAGGUUUUUAACACCAGUGGACUUCACUGGAGAGAUGCACGUGGCUGGCUGAGAGCCUGAGCCCUCGACUAUCAGCUCAAGCUGAUGACUACAGCCAGGGCUCCAUGACACUGAAGAGCUGAAUCCAUCCCAGAUCCUGGAUUGACAAGGCAUUAAUAAAUUGUUAAGGGUUUAUCAAAACUGCAGAGGCAAUUUAAAGCAAAUUCUUUGUCAGCAGAAACUAAUUCUCAAUGUAUUCUUUCAACAUAUGCAAAAUGAAAGGGAAAUAAAAGUCGUGUGUUGCUUCAUUGCA